rnacentral:rRNA from 1 species
CCCGGCACAAGCGGUGGAGUAUGUGGUUUAAUUCGAUGCAACGCGAAGAACCUUACCUGGUCUUGACAUCCCGGAGACCCUUAGGAAACUAGGGGGUGCUUCCAUCUGGAAGAAUCUGGAGACAGGUGCUGCACGGCUGUCGUCAGCUCGUGUCGUGAGAUGUUGGGUUAAGUCCCGCAACGAGCGCAACCCUUGCCUUUAGUUGCCAGCAGUUCGGCUGGGCACUCUAAAGGGACUGCCGGUGUUAAACCGGAGGAAGGUGGGGAUGACGUCAAGUCCUCAUGGCCUUUAUGACCAGGGCUACACACGUACUACAAUGGCCGAUACAAAGGGCAGCGACACUGCGAGGUGAAGCCAAUCCCGUAAAAUCGGUCUCAGUCCGGAUUGGAGUCUGCAACUCGACUCCAUGAAGUUGGAAUCGCUAGUAAUCGUGGAUCAGCAUGCCACGGUGAAUACGUUCCCGGGCCUU